AGUGAACGCUGGCGGUAGGCCUAACACAUGCAAGUCGAACGGCAGCACAGUAAGAGCUUGCUCUUACGGGUGGCGAGUGGCGGACGGGUGAGGAAUACAUCGGAAUCUACUUUUUCGUGGGGGAUAACGUAGGGAAACUUACGCUAAUACCGCAUACGACCUACGGGUGAAAGCAGGGGAUCUUCGGACCUUGCGCGAUUGAAUGAGCCGAUGUCGGAUUAGCUAGUUGGCGGGGUAAAGGCCCACCAAGGCGACGAUCCGUAGCUGGUCUGAGAGGAUGAUCAGCCACACUGGAACUGAGACACGGUCCAGACUCCUACGGGAGGCAGCAGUGGGGAAUAUUGGACAAAGGGCGCAAGCCUGAUCCAGCCAUACCGCGUGGGUGAAGAAGGCCUUCGGGUUGUAAAGCCCUUUUGUUGGGAAAGAAAAGCAGCAGGUUAAUACCCCGCUGUUCUGACGGUACCCAAAGAAAAAGCACCGGCUAACUUCGUG
rnacentral:rRNA from 1 species